ensembl:snoRNA small nucleolar RNA, C/D box 11B
UGAUGGCAGUGAUGAUUUCUACAUUUGUUCACCUGAUAACACUGUGAAGGUGUCCAGUCACUACCUCAUCUGAUGCCAUCU